GAGAGAGAGAGCUAGAGCUCUUUAUUAAUAGAGACCCCCAGCUCCACAGAUAAAGCAGAAUGAUCCAGAUCUGUGACGAUAAACUCCUCAUCUUUAACCUGCUGCUCCUCAUGUCAGUCUUGGCAUGUGAGACGAGUGAGAUCUUGACUUUCACUGCACAUGAAAGAGGGAAAGUUGAGAUACGGUGUCCAUAUGAGUCUGGAUAUGAAGAAUAUAAGAAGUAUCUCUGCAGAGGAGAAUGUCCAAGAGUGUUUAAAGAUAAAGUUGUUGAAUCUGAAUCAGCAGCUCAAGACGAGAGAUUCUCUCUGAAUGACAAUAAAUCAGCCCAGAUCUUCACCGUCACCAUCACUGAUCUGAGAACAGAGGAUCGAGGCCAAUACUGGUGUGGAGUUAAGACGGGAGUUGGAAAUUAUGAUUAUAACAGAGAGAUUUACCUGGAAAUUAAACAUGUGUCCCGAGUGUCUGGUGUGACUGGAGAGCAUCUGAAUAUUACCUGCCAUUAUGAAAGUGAAUUGAAGGACAAUGUCAAAUUCAUCUGUAAAGGAAGCAACACGUCUCUCUGUGAUAAAUCAGCUAUCAAAGUUUCAUCAGAGAACAACAGUAAUGGACGAUUCUCUCUGAGAGAUAAUGUGUCUGCAGGAGUUUUCACUGUGAACAUCACUGAUCUGACAGAAGAGGAUUCUGGGAUAUACUGGUGUGGAGCUGUACAGAGAGGACAAGCGCGCAAGAACAAGUGGAUUUCAGUCAUUGAUCUGAACAUUUCUGCUGUUACAUCAGAGAUGAUGUCAUCUAAACCAACAACAGCUUCAUUCCACACCAGCAAACCAGUGACAGCAGAUACUGCAUCUGACAAAACCGACACAUCUUCAUCAUCAUCAUUAUUACCAUCGUCAUCACCUUCAGUGUUAAUGUUUUCCUCAUCAUCUGCUAAUGCAGGGUCACCAAAACCACAACAAGGUUUCACACCAAUCAUCAUGAUGGUGGUCAUAGGGAUACUCACAGGGCUUGGAUUCUCAUUGUUCAUUUAAUUAAGAUGGAGGCAGAAGAAAGAAGGAACGCAGCCCAAAGAUGUGGUUCAUGGCCCGAAUCUGCCCAAUGGAGAAACUAGAGAAUUUGUCUGUGACAGGCUCCAGUAAAGAGAUCUUGAGUGACCAUCCACCUGCUCUCAGUGUGAUUCCAUCCACACAAACACACACAGUCACAUUGGUGCCGUGACCCGUUGUUUGUUCAAUCAAGAUGUUUCCUGAAGCGGCCGAGGGUUCAUCUUAAAGCUUCCGCUGGAGUCAGGUGGACACUAUUUUUCUCGGGAACUGUUUUUUUAAGAAAAAUAGUUUUUUUCAUUUAGUGACUGCACUCAAGCAAUUUGCAUAAUUUGCUAAGGACAAUUUGCUAUUGAGCACAUUUGAGGUUUUUGAUUUAUUGUAUUUUUUUUUUUUACAAGUACUGAUAUUCAUUAUGAGUGAUUUUGAUAACUAUCACACUCCAGUCUGUGGUAGUAAAGGUAGAGGAUGGGGUUUAUUGAAAGUGCCAAAGACAUUACCGUUCAGUGGGCCUGGUGUACAGAGUGAUGCCCAUGUAGUCAUAGACCGUAACACUUCAGAUUCAGAUCCAUUAGUUUGUGAUGGCCUAUCCACAAGUUAUGAGUCAGAUGCUUCAAGAGGGCAGCAGGGUGUGUUUUCGUCUACUCCAUACCCUAAUUCACAGCCACCUAAUGUAAUCACUGCAAUGACUGACAUAAUCAGCCAAGUUGGUCAGCAAAUUGCUGAUAGCAUAGUCACCAGACUAAGUCCAACACAUAAAGUUGACGCACAUUCAGUUGACGAUUCCUCCAAAAACGUAACUGUAGAUAAAUCAACUUCACAAAUGAUGGACCUGAUACAAAGCCAGUUGUCCUUUUCCAGAAAUGUGAGAGAACCUCCUAGCUUCAGGGGAGAAGUUUCUGAUUCUAUUGACUUAAAUGAGUGGAUAGAUAUCAUGAGAGACCACUAUAUGUUCACGCUCACUUUAUAACAAUGUAUAUUCAGCAGAGUUUCACAUCUCUCGCUGCUGACUUUGAGCAACGUUGAUGCACUGUCCUUUAACCAGCUUUUGGUCGUGUUUGUCUGUGACAGGCUCCAGUAAAGAGAUCUUGAGUGACCAUCCACCUGCUCUCAGUGUGAUUCCAUCCACACAAACACACACAGUCACAUAUAUAUAUAUAUAUAUAUAUAUAUAUAUAUAUAUAAUUAUUUAUAUGCGUUAUGUUUUAUGUCAAGUUUUUUUUUGUAAUCUUUUAUUACUUACCUCUAAAAACAGUUUGCUGUUAUCCUUUAGGCCUGGUCUCCGUCCGUUUCGCAUUUGAAAUCUGUUCUCCCGCGCUUUGAUUUGAUUGGCGGUUGGCAGCCAGCUUUAGCUGCAUUACUGCCACCUAAUGGACUGGAUUGUGGUGCAUGAAAAAACCCUCUGAAUUAUCUCUAUUCUCCUUAGAUUCAUUAAAUGUAUGUAAAUUCCACAUGAUUUAAAUCUAAUAAUUAUAAUGAAUAUAUAAAUUAUAAACAAUUAUAAUUUAAAUGUUUAAUUAUAAUUUUAAAAUAAAAAUGUUUAAUUUAAGUUAAUGAACUGGAUGACCACAAGAAUUAUAAGGACAUUCGUUGGAGCAUUUAGUCAUUAUCAGUCUCUGGCUGAAUGUGCUCCUCUAGCUAGCCAAAAACAGGUAAUGAACACAUUAAUUACUAAUGUAAAAACAUUACUACUACUGCUGCUAAUAAUAAUAAUAAUAAUAUCCAGCUGGUUUAUCUGAGUUCUAUCUAAUGCUCACAGUUCUUUGUUAAUCCGCAGACAGUUUUAUUUAUUUAACGGUGCUGCUAGUGGUGAUGAGUUUACAAAAUUUGCAGAAUUUGUUGUUUGAGCAUGUGCUCACUAGGAAAAUGUACCAUAUUUAAGUGCUGAAUGAGGGAUUGACAGUCUAAAGUUUCACCAGUGAAAUGCUGACCAAAAAUAAAUCAACAUUGAUUCAAUAUUUGUCUUUUCAACACUGAAAAGCAUUGAAUUAUCAACAUUGAUCCAAUAUUAUUUAGCAUUGAAUUUUCAACCUCAACCAAAAUGAUGAUUCUGAUGGAAUUUCAACAUUGAAUCAAUGUCACCCUGCUAUCUGGAAAAGGAGUGGGAUGACUUUCUUUUAGCCUAAUUUUUACAAUGUUUUUGUAAUGUAUUAAUUAUCACGGGCUAUAAUAAAAAACAAGUUGUCAUAUCCUAAUACUGAGUAAAUACAUUUGGUUCGAAUAGUAUGGCAAGAUGUAUUAAAAAUGUAUUUCUUUUUUUUCACAUUAUUAGAUUACCUUUUGACUUUAUGAAUACACAUAAAUGAUAGCUUAAUGAUUUUUUUCUUUUUUAUAAUAUUUUUAAUAAUUUUAUAAUAUUUUCUUUUUUAAUAUAAUAUAUUAUAAUUUAAUAUAUAAUUUAAUAUAAUUUAUAUUUUUUGUAUUAUUUGGCUUUUUAAACUGUAAUUUAUUUGAUAGUUAUGUAUACAUUAUUUUAUUAACAGGAAGAAAAACCUGUUUUUGACCUCAGAAUAAAGCACUUUCCCGUUGUACAUGGCUGUGGGGACGAGCAGUUUUGUGGUGCUUGGAAUUCUUCAUAAUUAAUUAAAAACAAAUACUGCCACAUUGAUGGCUCAAAGAAGGUGUAAUUGUUCAAAAAACACAUUGUCAUAUUGGGAACGUUUAUUAUAUUACUAAAAGAGGACCAUAUGGGAACGUUCUGUUAACGUCCCAAAUGUCCUCUUUGUAACGUUGCUAUAUGUGACCAUAGAAAAACCAAUAUAGAACGUCCUCCUAAAGUCAUAUCUGGAACGUUAUAAUAUGACUAAAACAGGACCUUAUGGGAACGUUCUGUUAAGGUCCCAAAUGUCCUCUUUGUAACGUUCUUAUGUGACCAAAAAAUAACCAAAAUAGAACGUCCUCCUAAAGUCAUAUCUGCAACGUUAUUAUUUGACUAAUAGAGGACCAUAUGGGAACGUUCUGUUAACGUCCUCUUUGUAACGUUCUUAUGUGACCAAAAAAUAACCAAAAUAGAACGUCCCCCUUAAGUCACGUAAGUAACAUUGAGCACCAGCACUUUCAUAACCAAAAGAGGACGUUUUAGGAACAUCCCUAAUGUUCUGUAGAGGUUCGGGACUUUCGUCACCUUUAGGGAACUUUUAGGGAACGUUGCGCAAGGUUGCGAGAACGUCCCCUCCUACGUGGGAAGUACAUCACUGCAGUUUCCAUAAUAAAUGAACACUUUCACACAAAGUUACAGAGUUGCGAUUAAUAAAGCGUAAUUUUCGCAAAAUUACUUGAAGAAUAUCAUGCUAUGACUUCAAAACAAUAUUAAUAUGCUGGGAGAUUUGAAAACUGAUGCUUUUGAACGUUAGCAUCGCACACAUCCAGCUUCGUAUCUAUGGGUUUUCGUGCAUGAUAAGUUUGUUUGGUAGCUCACGGAGUACGGAGACGGACUUUUCGAGACGAGGAGCACCGGUUCGAAUCCCGUGAAACUACGGUUCAACAAAUCAGUUAAAAUCUGCGUAAAAGGAAGUUCAAAUGGCACAGUUGCAUCAGCUAAUAUGUUUUUAUAUCAGUUUUGCAUUUGUUAACAUUAUCGGGUAGGUUUAGGGCUGGAUUUGGUGUAGGGCGUAUUUUCAACACGAUAGAGCAUUAAGUUUUAGCAACAGUCCCCGGAUAUUUUAAUUCUGAACCGCUGUAAUACGUAUCUAAAGCAACGUAAUAAAAAAACAGCAAUACGUACCAAUAUCUACGUAAUAAAAACGUGCCAGGGUUUACAUAUUGAACCUGUGUUUUAGCGCCACUCAGUGGACAUUUCUAUUUCAAACUGCGGCGAAACGUGCAGCAAGGUACGUAAAACGGUGUCGCACAAAAAGUGCGCAGAGGUACGAAUUUUUAUGACACCAGGUUGAUUUUAUCAUUCUUCAUUUGCCACACUAUGGCAUUUUCAUAACUGGACAUCUUGUCAAAUUAAAGGCCUUUAAUACAUUUGAUCUCAAUCUGGUGCCACAAAACAGCAGUGUGGCUGAGAGGUGACGUUCAUGUCUUGGCUGAAAAUCUGCCCACUAAAGAAGUGAGUUUCAUCGUGUCCGUUUGAGGUCGAUCUUAAUCUCUGUCCCUCUCUCUAAUCACUUAUUUGUGGGUUCUUAUCAUCUUUACCUCUAUUGACCAUACUGUUGCUUAUCUCCAGUGUGUUUUUACUCUGGUGACUGUCUUUCUUCUCUUA